GCGCAGUCCAGAGCUGAGCGAAGGACUGAGAAAUAUCGAGAACAGGCGAGUGGAGGGAGCCGGGUAUUAGAGGCAGAGGAUUGACGGACGGGAAUCUCAAACCAAACAUCACAUCAAGAUCUGACAGAGCCAUUUAAUUCGUCAGGACCUGAAUAUCAUCAAACUUUUAAUGCGGAAGGGUAUUAGAAGGAGGGGAUUUGCAGUCGGGAAAUUCAAACCAAGCAUCACAUCAGAAUCUGACGGAGUCGCCCAAUUUAUCGUAACCUAAAUAUCAUUGAAUUUUGAACAUGGAAGGAAAAAGCACCGUUCACAGUGAGGAGAAACCGUACACGUGUUCUGUGUGUGGACGAGGCUUCAGCCAAUCAUCUGACGUGUCAGAACAUAAAUGCCGUCACAACA